UACGUAGGGUGCAAGCGUUGUCCGGAAUCAUUGGGCGUAAAGCGCGUGUAGGCGGCUUGGUAAGUCCGCUCUGAAAGCCCGGGGCUCAACCCCGGGAGGCGGGUGGAUACUGUCAAGCUCGAGUCCGGAAGAGGCGAGUGGAAUUCCUGGUGUAGCGGUGAAAUGCGCAGAUAUCAGGAGGAACACCUGAGGUGAAGACGGGUUGCUGGGCUGACACUGACGCUGAGGCGCGAAAGCCAGGGAGCAAACA
rnacentral:rRNA from 1 species